AUUGAACGCUGGCGGCAUGCCUUACACAUGCAAGUCGAACGGUAACAGGUCUUCGGAUGCUGACGAGUGGCGAACGGGGGAGUAAUACAUCGGAACGUGCCUAGUAGUGGGGGAUAACUACUCGAAAGAGUGGCUAAUACCGCAUGAGAUCUACGGAUGAAAGCAGGGGAUCGCAAGACCUUGUGCUACUAGAGCGGCCGAUGGCAGAUUAGGUAGUUGGUGGGAUAAAAGCUUACCAAGCCGACGAUCUGUAGCUGGUCUGAGAGGACGAUCAGCAAAACUGGGACUGAGAAACGGCCCAGACUCCUACGGGAGGCAGCAGUGGGGAAUUUUGGACAAUGGGCGAAAGCCUGAUCCAGCAAUGCCGCGUGCAGGAUGAAGGCCUUCGGGUUGUAAACUGCUUUUGUACGGAACGAAAAGCCCCGGGUUAAUACCCUGGGGUCAUGACGGUACCGUAAGAAUAAGCACCGGCUAACUACGUGCCAGCCGCCGCCGUAA
rnacentral:rRNA from 1 species